UGGGGAAUAUUGCACAAUGGGCGCAAGCCUGAUGCAGCAACGCCGCGUGAGGGAUGACGGCCUUCGGGUUGUAAACCUCUUUUAGUAGGGAAGAAGCCUUUCGGGGUGACGGUACCUGCAGAAAAAGCACCGGCUAACUACGUGCCAGCAGCCGCGGUAAUACGUAGGGUGCAAGCGUUGUCCGGAAUUAUUGGGCGUAAAGAGCUCGUAGGCGGUUUGUCGCGUCUGCUGUGAAAGCCCGGGGCUCAACCCCGGGUGUGCAGUGGGUACGGGCAGACUUGAGUGCGGUAGGGGAGAUUGGAAUUCCUGGUGUAGCGGUGGAAUGCGCAGAUAUCAGGAGGAACACCGAUGGCGAAGGCAGAUCUCUGGGCCGUUACUGACGCUGAGGAGCGAAAGCAUGGGGAGCGAACAGG
rnacentral:rRNA from 1 species